rnacentral:lncRNA from 1 species
AAGGAGCUACCACCGCCCUGGUCGUGGCUCUGGUUGCGGAUGUGGCUGCUGUCUUUUGAAAUUCCUCUUCAACAUCAUCAUCACUGCUGUGGUUGUCAUUGGCCUUGCUGUUCUUAUCUUCUGGCUCAUAUUCCGCCCGAACAAGGUCAAGUUCCAUGUGACAGACGUCUCACUCACCGAAUUCAACCUCACUACCAACAACACUUUGCAUUACAACCUGGCUGUUAACAUGACAGUGCGUAACCCCAACAAGAGGAUUGGCAUAUACUAUGAUCGUAUCGAGGCUAGGGCUUACUACGAGGACCAAAGAUUAAAUACGCAAACUUUG